rnacentral:rRNA from 1 species
AGUUUGAUCAUGGCUCAGGACAACGCUGGCGGCGUGCCUAACACAUGCAAGUCGAACGAGGUCCAAGGAAGCUUGCUUCCUGAAGACCUAGUGGCGAACGGGUGAGUAACACGUGAGAAACCUGCCUCGGAGUGGGGAAUAACUCGGGGAAACUCGAGCUAAUACCGCAUACCUUCACAUGAUCGCAUGGUCGAGUGAAGAAAGAAUUUCGCUCUGAGAGGGUCUCGCGGCCUAUCAGCUUGUUGGUGGGGUAACGGCCUACCAAGGCAACGACGGGUAGCUGGUUUGAGAGAACGAUCAGCCACACUGGGACUGAGACACGGCCCAGACUCCUACGGGAGGCAGCAGUGGGGAAUCUUGCGCAAUGGGCGAAAGCCUGACGCAGCAACGCCGCGUGCGGGAUGACGGCCUUCGUGGUUGUAAACCGCUUUCAGCAGGGACGAAAAUGACGGUACCUGCAGAAGAAGCCCCGGCUAACUACGUG